CAGUUUUCCACAUCUUUAAUGUACAGUGCCAAGAUAAGCGUUAUCAGUGAUGCCGGUGCUGCCUCAUUAGGGUGUGUGUCAUUUGAACACUUGAGUGGAUUUACAUGGUAAAGGAUGGUGUGACAGCAGGCAUUACAAGAAUGAUAACUCCACCCUGCUUUGAGAUGUUGUGACCUUUGGUUCACAUUAAAUCGUCUGCAAAUACAGACUCCACUCCAAUCAUAUCACCCGCUUUGUUCACAGAGCUGGUAAUGCUUCGAGUCAUCGGCUAAGCAGAGAGGAGCAGAGAUACAAAAGUAUAAAUGAAAACAGAAACACGAGGUGAGAAAAGUCCUUCUUAUCACAACACGUGUCAACAUCUGCAUAGAGAAAUAAAAGUCACUUUCAUUUGUGACGUCCACCCUAAACUCUUCAGCACUCAUUUGAAAAUAGCUAGCAACAACAUUAGCACAGAUUCAAAGAAGAAUAUCAGUGUCAGACCUUUUUUGUCAAAUGUGAAGCUACCGAUAGCAGCUGGUUAGCUUAGCAAAAGGAAGUGAGAGGAAAUGGUUAGCCCCGCUCUAUAAUAAAGCUUUCAAAGAGGCAGAGAACAUUUUUCACGUCUCCCUUCAUAUUCCUAACACUAAUUUGAGCUUAAUCAGCCAUGUCUGACUCAAAGAUGUACACGCCCCCAAACGAACCUGCUUAUGCUGAUAUUCAAACACAAACUUGGCUGGUUUGGCCUUAGAGUCAUUUGACACUGCACUCAAAUAUUUUUACAUACUCACCAGAUAGCUAGCUAGCUAAAAGCCAAAAAUACCCAGCAGCAGCAGAGCUUGAACCACAGACAGGCCGAGCUGUGUAGCUACAGUGUGAAGUGGCCCAAAGAGAACGGCUCGGUGCUGUAACGUCAUUCUCAUCCCACUGUUGACGACAAGACCAGGCCCAGAAAUAAGGCAAAGCACCCUGAACCCUGAGAUGAAGUAAACGUAAUAUAAUCUGUUAUUAGCUCUAGCGGGCUUGUUUUAAGGCUUGGUGAGUCUUUAGCCUUAGCAUGAGAAUCUGUGGACACAUGAUUUCAAUCAUCUUAGUGUAUUCUUAAUGAGAAAGCACAUUUUUAAAACUAAUAAAGUAGAUAUAAUCUGUAAUAAAGAAACUAAAGGUGGCACUUAUUUAAACCAAUCAGAAAAGAGCUUCAUAACAAUUACAUGAUUUGGUUGUUUCCCUGUUCUGAGUGUAGUUAACACACUGCAGGUGUAAUUUCCCAGCUUACUCUGAAGCUAAACAAACAUGACAACUAAUGAAAUUAACACCAGUGAGCACCAGUCAGAGUGAAAUAAGCUCAAAGACUUGAUAGAUGCGCCUGUGACGGACUCCUUUAAUAUCUCAGCUUCAAGAUUUUAUGAUUUUCACACUCUCACAGUAAAUCAGUUCAGAUAACUGCUUAUAUUUUCUAUGUGAUGAGUGGAUGUACUAAAGGCAAAGACAGGAAAGUUCAGCUUACAGAAUCCAGACGUGUACAAAAGCUUCCUGUUACAUAAUGAAGACUUCAGGAAAUUAAACAGCAUCCAAAUAAGUGAAGGUCUGAUUUGUUAAAGACGAGGUAUGGAUGGUAGCUCGAGCUGGCAGAGGACAGAGCCAACUUUCCCUCCUACCCUUCCUCUCCUUUUUCCGUCCAUCUGUGCAUUUGGGAUAUGAUCAAGUGUGGAAAACUGGGGUUUCUUUGCAGUGGGAUGUUGUGGAUGAUUUGUCCCUCUUCCGGAUUCUUGGCUCAGAAUUUGGGAGCUUCUGUUUUCUGGGGUGUGUUGUGUGGUUGGGGUUAGUGUUCAGGAGUAUAACUGGUUGUUUAACUUGUUCCUGCUUUAGGCCUCUGUGUUGAGAGAGUGUGUGGAGGCAUGUUUUUGUGGUGUCUCCAUGUUGAACCGCCUGAAGAAACUAGGUCUGGGAAAAAUCAGAUAAGAAAAUGUAAGUGCAAAUGUUCAUUUACAUGCAACUGAAAUGUCUUAAUCUGUGGUGAACUCACCGGACGCAUUUCCCGACUGUGUGGCAGUCGUUCC
ensembl:lncRNA